UGGAGGCGCUGCAAAAAAUGUUCCAACAGACUCUACAAUCCUCCGGAGCAACUAGUAGUACUGCAUAUGUAGCCUAGAAAGAUAUUUUUUUCUCAUGCCCUCAACAUUAGACAGGAAAAUCACACUACAUGGAUAGUGGAUUCCGGAGCAUCAGAUCACAUGACCAGAAACCUCAUGGUUUUUCAUAAAUAUACACUCUGCCAUAAUAAUUUC
rnacentral:lncRNA from 1 species